rnacentral:misc_RNA from 1 species
AUGAAUUUUAGGACGUUCUUUUUAGAAGUCCGACCCUUUCAUUUUCUUACACCGUGCACACACUUCUUUUUUACACACACUUUUAACACCUUAGUAUAAGAAUGUAAUAGUCUCUUAAUUGAGCAUAAAUAAAAACA